UUCCGUUAUCAAGACGAAAGUUAGAGGUUCGAAGGCGAUCAGAUACCGCCCUAGUUCUAACCAUAAACGAUGCCAGCCAGCGAUCCGCCGAAGUUCCUCCGAUGACUCGGCGGGCAGCUUCCGGGAAACCAAAGCUUUUGGGUUCCGGGGGAAGUAUGGUUGCAAAGCUGAAACUUAAAGGAAUUGACGGAAGGGCACCACCAGGAGUGGAGCCUGCGGCUUAAUUUGACUCAACACGGGAAACCUCACCAGGCCCGGACACCGGAAGGAUUGACAGAUUGAGAGCUCUUUCUUGAUUCGGUGGGUGGUGGUGCAUGGCCGUUCUUAGUUGGUGGAGCGAUUUGUCUGGUUAAUUCCGGUAACGAACGAGACUCUAGCCUGCUAAAUAGACGAUUUCCGGUAUCCACAAUAGUGCUACCGGCGAAAUCAAUAUCUUCUUAGAGGGACAGGCGGCUUUCAGCCGCACGAAACUGAGCAAUAACAGGUCUGUGAUGCCCUUAGAUGUCCUGGGCCGCACGCGCGCUACACUGAAGGAAUCAGCGUGUACACCCUGGCCGAAAGGCUCGGGCAACCCGUUGAACCUCCUUCGUGCUAGGGAUUGGGGCUUGCAAUUGUUCCCCAUGAACGAGGAAUUCCCAGUAAGCGCGAGUCAUAAGCUCGCGUUGAUUACGUCCCUGCCCUUUGUACACACCGCCCGUCGCUACUACCGAUUGAAUGAUUUAGUGAGGUCUUCGGACUGGUGCGCGGCGGCCGCCUGCGCGGCCGCCGAUGCCACCGGGAAGAUGACCGAACUUGAUCAUU
rnacentral:rRNA from 1 species